AGGAUGAACGCUGGCGGUCUGCUUAACACAUGCAAGUCGAACGGAGUACCUCGGUACUUAGUGGCGGACGGGUGAGUAACGCGUGAGAAUCUGCCCUUAGGUCAGGGACAACCAUUGGAAACGAUGGCUAAUACCGGAUAAGCCGAGAGGUAAAAGAUUAAUUGCCUAGGGAAGAGCUCGCGUCUGAUUAGCUAGUUGGUGAGGUAAAGGCUCACCAAGGCAUCGAUCAGUAGCUGGUCUGAGAGGAUGAUCAGCCACACUGGGACUGAGACACGGCCCAGACUCCUACGGGAGGCAGCAGUGGGGAAUUUUCCGCAAUGGGCGAAAGCCUGACGGAGCAAGACCGCGUGAGGGAGGAAGGCUCUUGGGUUGUAAACCUCUUUUCUUGGGGAAGAACAAAUGACGGUACCCAAGGAAUCAGCAUCGGCUAACUCCGUGCCAGCAGCCGC
rnacentral:rRNA from 1 species